CCUACGGGAGGCAGCAGUGGGGAAUAUUGCACAAUGGGCGCAAGCCUGAUGCAGCCAUGCCGCGUGUGUGAAGAAGGCCUUCGAGUUGUAAAGCACUUUCAGUCAGGAGGAAAGGUUAGUAGUUAAUACCUGCUAGCUGUGACGUUACUGACAGAAGAAGCACCGGCUAACUCCGUGCCAGCAGCCGCGGUAAUACGGAGGGUGCGAGCGUUAAUCGGAAUUACUGGGCGUAAAGCGUACGCAGGCGGUUUGUUAAGCGAGAUGUGAAAGCCCCGGGCUCAACCUGGGAACUGCAUUUCGAACUGGCAAACUAGAGUGUGAUAGAGGGUGGUAGAAUUUCAGGUGUAGCGGUGAAAUGCGUAGAGAUCUGAAGGAAUACCGAUGGCGAAGGCAGCCACCUGGGUCAACACUGACGCUCAUGUACGAAAGCGUGGGGAGCAAACGGGAUUAGAUACCCCGGUAGUCCACGCCGUAAACGAUGUCUACUAGAAGCUCGGAGCCUCGGUUCUGUUUUUCAAAGCUAACGCAUUAAGUAGACCGCCUGGGGAGUACGGCCGCAAGGUUAAAACUCAAAGGAAUUGACGGGG
rnacentral:rRNA from 1 species